rnacentral:misc_RNA from 5 species
AACGCACAUUGCGCCCGCCAGUAUUCUGGCGGGCAUGCCUGUCUGAGCGUCAUUUCAACCCUCAUGCCCCUAGGGCGUGGUGUUGGGGAUCGGCCAAAGCCCGCGAGGGACGGCCGGCCCCUAAAUCUAGUGGCGGACCCGUCGUGGCCUCCUCUGCGAAGUAGUAAUAUUCCGCAUCGGACAGCGACGAGCCCCUGCCGUUAAACCCCCAACUUUCUAAGGUUGACCUCAGAUCAGGUAGGAAUACCCGCUGAACUUAA